rnacentral:rRNA from 1 species
GACGAACGCUGGCGGUGUGCUUAACACAUGCCAGUCGAACGGUAAGGCCCUUUCGGGGGUACACGAGUGGCGAACGGGUGAGUAACACGUGAGUAACCUGCCCUCAUCUCUGGGAUAACAGUCGGAAACGGUUGCUAAUACUGGAUAUGAGCCUGCAAGGCAUCUUGUGGGUUGGAAAGAUUUUUUGGUUGGGGAUGGACUCGCGGCCUAUCAGCUUGUUGGUGAGGUAGUGGCUCACCAAGGCUUCGACGGGUAGCCGGCCUGAGAGGGCGACCGGCCACAUUGGGACUGAGAUACGGCCCAAACUCCUACGGGAGGCAGCAGUGGGGAAUAUUGCACAAUGGACGGAAGUCUGAUGCAGCAACGCCGCGGGCGGGAUGACGGCCUUCGGGUUGUAAACCGCUUUCAAUUGUGACGAAGCUUUUUGUGACGGUAGCAGUAGAAGAAGCACCGGCUAACUACGUG